rnacentral:lncRNA from 1 species
GUACAUAUUACAGUUUUGAAUAAGUUUUUAAGUGCACUUCGAUUAUAAAAAUUUAAAUUUAUAAAAUUUGUUUUCUUACGCGCACGCAAUAAAGGAAACAUGCAUGUCCUAUUUGCUUUGUUGAGAGAAGUAAAGAAACAAGUCUGCUUGGUUUGUCUUUUGCCUUCGUUGCUUUUUUUUUUUGUCGCGUAGCCGAACCGCACAAAUAUUGUGAUGGUUUAUGACUAUAUAGUAGGAGUCGACAUUUCUUAGAGCAAUUGCGUAAGCCGACACAUGAACACCGUCGUUAAAUAAAAGCAGCAGCGGCAAAUUACUGUCAAAUAUUUCAUGCCUAUAUACUUUGUGUGGCGCGUAUUAAAAUAAGCUCGGACAGUGGGUUAAGAAGUAACUUUUGUUAAAAAUUUCUUGACGCGAAUUUUAUUCCGUGUGGCGACCAAACGAUUUUUUAAAUAAGAGACACAAAUUUUGAUUAUCAGCGAAUUAUCGCUGGAGAAUGCGGAAAACAGACGGACUUUAUUGAUUACUAUUUCUUUAAACGAAAGUUCAUAAUUUAUAAAAAAUGUUUAUUCUGUACUUCGCAUUAAUUUGGUAUUAUCGAAUUUCACAAUAUUUAUCAAUACCAAGAAUUGGUGCAUAAAAUAAUCUUGUUUUAGUCAACUUUUAUACAAUAAUUUCAAGUGGCAAGAAAUCAAGUUACAUCAAGUUGCAUUGCAUUAAUAUGUUUAAGCGGUGUUUGAAAUUUUCUUAGUAAUAUCAGCACUUUCCUAUAUUAUAGUGCAAUGCAUGUUUACAUUGUUUUAUUUGAUGUAGCUAUAAGUUGAAUUAUAGCGUCAGCAUUUUUGUAAGUGGUCAUUUGAUUAACAUUUGUAACUACUCCCCUCAUCAAAUUAGAAUUCUGUUCUUUAGUUUUAAAAGUAUACGAUUGCGUAAACUGACAAUAACAAUUAUGAUUAUUACACUGAUACAAAAUAUGGCAUCCAUAAAUUAUCUUGUUGUGAAUUUCUAAUUUCCUUAAUUAGAAAAACAAUAUUUUUUUAAUUUUAAUAGUACAAUUUGUAUAAAAUGUAUUCCAUUUACUGCUAUAAUAUCGGUGUUACAAUUUUGUUGUAAUGUUAUAUUUAUUGCAUUUUUUACAGUUAUUGUGUCUAUAUCUAUUUCAAUAAUUUCAAAAUUCUUAUUUGGUUUAACUUCACAAUUUCCUUUUAUAAUGUGAAAUUAACUUUAAUUGUCUUAAAUGUUUACUCUCUUCAGAUGUAAAAGUUUUAUUAUCUCAAUUAAAUACUUCUUCUAUUUCAUAUUUAAUUUGGUAUAUAUGAUGUUAGGUAGUGGUACAAUUUUUCUUAGCUUAAUAGUUACAACUAUUUUUGGAAUUUUUAUAGCAAUAACUAAGUAAAUAAUUGAAGGUACAUUCUGUCAAGAAAGUGUCGGGAAUUCUUCAUUUCCCCCUUUCAUCUCCCGCUUAUAUGGAAGACAGGUAAAUUUUUUUUCUGGGUUGGUAUAACUGUCCCUUAUUAUGAUGCAAAAAUUAGCGCGAUCUGUCGAAUUCCCCCACUUGGUUUUCGUAUCCUUUUAAGUAUUCCAUAUAAUAAUUCUAUAAAUUGAUACUCCCAUAAUUUUAAAAGCCAUAUUUUCCUCGAUAUUUCGUAAGUAAAAAUUUAAUCGGUUGAUGAUCAGUUGGAAUUUUCUACCAUAAAUGUAUGGCCUAAAGUAGUUAACGCUCCACAUAAUUGCCAAAAAUUCUUUGUCAGUUGCCGAGUAAUUUCUUUCAUGAUUGUUUAAAGUUCUAGAGGCAUUAAACACCGUAUGUUGUGUGACAACACUGCUGCAAUUGCAUAAUUGGAUGCAUCCGUUGUUAACGUAAAAUGUUUCUCGGAAUGGAUAACGUAAAAUCGGAUGCCUACUUAUUAACGUUUUUAAUUGUUUGAAUGCUUCAAUAUACAGUAGGGUGAUUCA